UCAAGCGAACAAGGGCGCAGGGCGAAUGCCUUGGCACUGGGAGCCGAUGAAAGACGUGAUAAGCUGCGAUAAGCUUCGGGGAGCUGCAAAUAAGCAUUGAUCCGGAGAUUUCUGAAUGAGGAAACUCACCUGGGUUCAUACUCAGGUACGUUGUACUGAAAUUCAAAAUAGGUACAUCGGGGGAACCGCCUGAACUGAAACAUCUAAGUAGGGCGAGGAAGAGACAUCAAACGAGAUUCCGUAAGUAGUGGCGAGCGAACGCGGAAGAGGGCAAACCGAAGGUAGAAAUACCUUCGGGGUACGGACUGCUUUUAGGACUCGAUCUGUUAACCGAACGGCAUGGGAAGGCCGGUCAGAGAGUGUGAGAACCACGUAGGUGAAAACGGAAAGAGCUGCGCAGAAUCCAGAGUACGGCCAGACACGUGAAACCUGGUCGGAAGAUGGGGGGACCACCCUCCAACCCUAAAUACUACCCAGUGACCGAUAGCGUAUAGUACUGUGAAGGAAAGGUGAAAAGCACCCCGGGAGGGGAGUGAAAAAGAACCUGAAACCCUGUGCCUACAAGCACCUAGAGCACGUCAAAGUGUGAUAGGGUACUUUUUGUAGAACGGUCCGGCGAGCGAUUGUAUGCAGCAAGGUUAAGGACUUAAGGUCUGGAGCCGAAGCGAAAGCGAGUUUGAAAAGGGCGUUAAGUUGCAUAUAAUGGGCCCGAAACCGGGUGACCUACCCAUGGUCAGGUUGAAGUGGAAGUAAAAUUCCAUGGAGGACCGAACCGACCUCCGUUGAAAAGGCGGCGGAUGAACUGUGGGUAGCGGAGAAAUUCCAAUCGAACCCGGAGAUAGCUGGUUCUCCCCGAAAUAGUUUUAGGACUAGCCUCAAGUUAGAUACCUGGAGGUAAAGCACUGAAUAGCCUAGCGGCCGAGAGGUUAGCGAAGCUUAUCAAACUCAGAAUGCCAGAGUAUUGAUGCUUGGGAGUCAGACAGUGUCAGAUAAAUGUCAUUGUCAAAAGGGAAACAGCCCAGAUCUACAGCUAAGGUCCCAAAGUCAGGUUAAGUGGAAAACGAUGUGAAGAUACGCAGACAACCAGGAUGUUGGCUCAGAAGCAGCCACUCAUUCAAAGAGUGCGUAAUAGCUCACUGGUCGAGCGUCUUUGCGCGGAGAAUUUAACGGGGCUAAACCUGACACCGAAGCUUAGGCAAUCCAGCAAUGGAUUGGGUAGGGGAGCGUUGUAUACGCGGAGAAACAGUAGCGUAAGCGGCUGUGGAGUGUAUAGAAGUGAGAAUGCCGGAAUGAGUAGCGCGAAUGCAGUGAGAAUCUGCAUGGCCGAAAGCCUCAGGUUUUUGGAGGAAGGUUCGUCCGCUCCAAGUUAGUCGGGAGCUAAGGUGAGGCCGGAAGGCGUAGCCGAUGCACAGACGGUAGAGAUUCCGUCACCACCAAAAGAGUUAAGCACAGGGACACAUUUGAAGUCUCAGAGCCGGGUGUUGGUUCCGGUAGAGAUCGAGGGAAAUUAGUACCGAAGUCUGGGAUGGAAGAUGGCGAGAAAAGCUGUGUGUAUUUCUGAGGUGCCCGUACCGCAAACCGACACAGGUAGGUAGGAAGAAGAUUCUAAGGCCAACGGGAGAAGGGUUGUUAAGGAACUCGGCAAAUUGACCCCGUAACUUCGGGAGAAGGGGUGCUCCAGAGAUGGAGCCGCAGAGAAUCGGCCCAAGCAACUGUUUACCAAAAACACAGGUUUGUGCUAAAUCGAAAGAUGACGUAUACGAGCUGACGCCUGCCCGGUGCUGGAAGGUUAAGAGGAGAUGUGCAAGCAUUGAAUCGAAGCCCCAGUGAACGGCGGCCGUAACUAUAACGGUCCUAAGGUAGCGAAAUUCCUUGUCAGGUAAG
rnacentral:rRNA from 1 species